AAUAGGCUUGGUCCUGGCCUUUCUAUUAGCUCUUAGCAGGAUUACACAUGCAAGCAUCCCCGCUCCAGUGAAGACGCCCUAUAAAUCAUCAUGACCAAGAGGAGCAAGCAUCAAGCACGCACACGCAGCUCAAAACGCUUUGCCUAGCCACACCCCCACGGGAGACAGCAGUGACAAGUAUUUAGCAAUAAACGAAAGUUCAACUAAGCCAUGCUAUAUUUAGGGUUGGUCAAUUUCGUGCCAGCCACCGCGGUUACACGAUUAACCCCAGCUAAUAGGGAUCGGCGUAGAGGGUGUUUAAGAUCUAACAUAAUAAAGCUAAACUCCACCUAAACUGUAAAACCCUAGCUAAUGUAAAAUAAACUACGAAAGUGGCUUUAAAGCUUCUGAACACACAAUAGCCAAGACCCAAACUGGGAUUAGACACCCCACUAUGCUUGGCCCUAAACCUCAGUAGUUAGAUAACAAAACUACUCGCCAGAAUACUACAAGCAACAGCUUAAAACUCAAAGGACUUGACGGUGCUUUACAUCCCCCUAGAGGAGCCUGUUCCGUAAUCGAUAAACCCCGAUCCACCCUACCCUCUCUUGCUCAGCCUAUAUACCGCCAUCUUCAGCAAACCCUAAUGAGGGCCACAAAGUGAGCGCAAACGCCGUCGCCGCGAAUACGUUAGGUCAAGGUGUAGCCCAUGAGACGGUAAAAAAUGGGCUACAUUUUCUAUUUCAGAAAACCCACGAAAACCCUUAUGAAACUUAGGGGUCCAAGGAGGAUUUAGCAGUAAAUUAAGAAUAGAGUGCUUAAUUGAACCAGGCCAUAAAGCGCGCACACACCGCCCGUCACUCCUCUCAAAUAUAUUUAAGGAAUAUCCUAACUAAACGCCCUAAUAUUUAUAUAGAGAGGAUAAGUCGUAACAUGGUAAGCGUACUGGAAGGUGCGCUUGGAUAAAU
rnacentral:ncRNA from 1 species